rnacentral:rRNA from 1 species
UACGAAGGGGGCUAGCGUUGCUCGGAAUCACUGGGCGUAAAGCGCACGUAGGCGGAUUGUUAAGUCGGGGGUGAAAUCCUGGAGCUCAACUCCAGAACUGCCUUCGAUACUGGCGAUCUUGAGUCCGGGAGAGGUGAGUGGAACUCCGAGUGUAAGAGGUGAAAUUCGUAGAUAUUCGGAAGAACACCAGUGGCGAAGGCGGCUCACUGGCCCGGUCACUGACGCUGAGGAGCGAAAGCGUGGGGAGCAAACAGG